rnacentral:rRNA from 1 species
UACGAAGGGGGCUAGCGUUGCUCGGAAUGACUGGGCGUAAAGGGCGCGUAGGCGGAUGGCUUUGUCGGGCGUGAAAUUCCAGGGCUUAACCUUGGGGCUGCGUUCGAGACGGGUUGUCUUGAGUGGGGAAGAGGGUCGUGGAAUUCCCAGUGUAGAGGUGAAAUUCGUAGAUAUUGGGAAGAACACCCGUGGCGAAGGCGGCCCACUGGGCCGGUACUGACGCUGAGGCGCGAAAGCGUGGGGAGCAAACAGG